UACGUAGGGGGCAAGCGUUGUCCGGAAUCAUUGGGCGUAAAGCGCGUGUAGGCGGCUAGAUAAGUCUGCUCUGAAAGCCCGGGGCUCAACCCCGGGAGGCGGGUGGAUACUGUCUAGCUCGAGUCCGGAAGAGGAGUGUGGAAUUCCUGGUGUAGCGGUGAAAUGCGCAGAUAUCAGGAGGAACACCGGUGGCGAAGGCGGGUCUCUGGGCCGAUACUGACACUGAGGAGCGAAAGCGUGGGGAGCGAACAGG
rnacentral:rRNA from 1 species